CACCCGGACCCCUGACAGGCCAGCGGCCCUCCGCUGUCCCCCUACAGACAGAAGACUAGGCGUUCAACUGAGGUGCCGAUACAUUUAAGAGUGCUUGCUUUAAUUACAGCUAUUGUAGUUUAUUGUGAUGACACUCAGAUGCAGUACCUGACAUGUUCCAGCACCACCCUCUGAGAAUCCUGCACAGAUGUUCCAGGAGGUCAGACCCAGUCUGCGGCAGUCUCUGCUGGGCAGUAAUGGGACCUGAGCGUUGUCUGCAGGCUACAGAGCCCAGGUGAGAAUCCCAGCCUUCAGAGCACACAGUCCUCCAUGAGCCCCUACUGAACACCUGCAGCACAGAGCUCCUGCCACUCACACGCACUGAGAGAGAGACUGAGAGGUUAGGGUCGGGUUUGAGGAUUGUGAAAGGUCAAGAAGAGAAGGAUAGGAUCAACCCACCACAGCUGAGCUCAUCUUCUCCAUCUCCACAGUCCUCGACUCCAUCACACACAGCAUUUCUGCUGAUACACUGAACCGACGACAAACAGCGGAACUUUCCUGAGCAACUCUUCAGACCCACUGGAGAAAAAGAGGUUGAAUGCAUGAUGAUGUCACACACACACACACACACACACUCCUGUCUAAAGGUAGUUUACACAACCAUCUGUUAGCAGUGAGCUGUCGUCAGAGCAGGGUGGAGCUCAUUAAACAUUUACAGUUCCCACUGCUCAGGAUGAGUUUCAUUUAAUGAGGAGGACACUUACUUACCUUCACACACAUAUAUUUUCUUGCCAUGGUGGGGAAUUGCUUUUGACUUCUCUUGUCUAAUCCUAAGCUAAUAAUAUUUUUUCCCAUAAGCCUAUACCUGACCCUAACAUUUUUUUUUAUUUUUAUUUCCAUUUAGAAAUUAUUUAGUUUGUCAGGUUUAAGUUUGUAUGGUUUAGUUAAAUCUGCCCAAACACAGGUUAAUAUAUUUGUAUAUUUGGAAUCAUUUAGUUUUUCGUUUUUUUUUUUUUAAAUGUAAUAUUGUGAAACAUUUUUUUAAACAACUUUUUAUUUUAAUAUAUUUUAACAUUUAAUUUAUUUCUGUUAUUUCUGUGUCCCUAAAGGCAGGGUUGGUUAGAUUUAAAUAACCUCUGGGGGACAAUUUUGCUCCCAAAUUAAAAAAAAAAAAAAAAAAAAAAAACAGACUCACCUCCCAAACCUAUUCCUAGAACCAGAACCAAGACAAUAAGCAAUCCCAAGAUGAUAAGCAGAGCCAGCAAUCUGCGAGACACAUACGGCCAACACAAAGACUUCAAGUCUGACAGUCUUUCUCCUGAGAGACGGAGAGAGAGGGAGAGAGACGGCUGAAUAAAACCAGUCUGCUAAAGGCCAGAGCUGCCAGCGGAGGAAGACUGAUUAGAUCACUGUUAGCAUCUUAAGUGUCCGUCUUCUAACCCCUGUGUAACUGGCCGUGUAAAGUACACGCUGAAGCCAUUUUAGAUUGUACUUACACAAUGUGACACACCAAGAAAGCGAGAAGCCUGCUUACCGUCCA